CCCUAAGCAGUGCAAAUGGUUAGCACACUUGGCUGCUAAUCAAAAUGUUGGAGGUUCAAGUCCACUCAAAGGUG
rnacentral:tRNA from 1 species